rnacentral:lncRNA from 1 species
UCAGUGUGAACCAAGGCUCUGUGUUGAAGGCUAUACUUUGACCUGUAAUUGUCUACACUAGUCCAUUUGGGGCCCUUUAUAACUUGCUAUUCAGUGUGAGCCAAGGCUCUGUGUUGAAGGCUAUACUUUGACCUGUAAUUGUCAACUUUUAAACAUUGUGACUUUGAUGUAUAAUUGUCUCCCUCGGACUCUCCAUUAUACCACAUCUUCUUAUUUAGAUUGACUUCAUUUUCAUGCUCUUGUCACGUAUCAGAAUUUAAAUUUUGGAAUUAGUGCUUCAUUUCUAAAAUGAAGUUGAAACGUUUGAAAUGUGUUCAUUCAUAUAUUAUCAUACCAUGUAAGCCUGACAAGUUUCAUGUGACCCUGACCUAUUUAUAAGAGUUAAUUUCUGUUAAUAGAUAUUUCUGCAGGCCAGACAUUUCAGUGUGUCAUAUCUUUGAAGCCUUGGUAUCAAACAAGUUAAUCUGCAUCAUGCAUGUGUAGAGUAACCCAACUAAAUUCAAG